ensembl:lncRNA uncharacterized LOC110072428
UCACAGCACUUGUGGAGUGUAGAACAUGAUGACAGCAGCACAUCUAUAGAAUCUGAUGACAUCAAGGAGGCAGUUUGGAAAGAAAUAGGAAUUGUUGUUGUUGUUGUUUUUUAAAGAUAGCUCUGAUUUGGGCUUUGUAUCUAGCAGCAAGAAACUACUGUUCUGGUUUUUCUAAUGACAAGAAAUCUACUUGGUCCAAACCUUUCAAGCGAUGUGUCGCAAGUCAUUGAAGCUAGCAUGGGACACAGAACCGAGCGCCACAGAACAAUUGCAGAAGACACUGGACUAUAAGUUCCUGGAACUGUUGGUGCUUUUUGAAUCAAGAAGCAACAUUUCAGACAGGUUAAAGAAGGCUGGAGCAACAAAUCAGAGCUGCAACCAGCAAUUUGUAGACCAACUGAGACCACUGUUUGAAACUCCUGAUGAGAAGCUAGCAAAACGUGUGAGGGACAUCUUUUAUCCGAAUCUCAGGGAGGAAGCUGUGAAAUCUAAAAGACCAUUCAUUUUUGCAGAUGACCAGAGAAUACCCUUUGCAAAGAAAAAAGCCACUCCUCCAAGAUCUAAAAGUGCCCCUGCAUUACGAUCUGUAGAACCAGAGAGCUGGACUAUGGUAACGCCUGUACCACACUUUAGAUGUCCUUGCUACCCUGAAAGGACGUAUAUUCCGGUUGUCACUGAGGAAGACCUCAUGGCUGUGGAAAGGGGUAAAACAGACAUCUACUUCAAAAUGCAAACUUCAGAAGCAAAAAGAAUGCGCUCUUUCCAGCAGAAAAUGGACAAAUACUUUUCUGAAGAAGAAAGAGAAGUUGCUUGGAGAAAACGGCAUCCUCUGGGACUCAAUUCAGUGAGAAGACCAGCCACCACAGGAGACGUCCCCCGAGGUACCAGUAGAUUCGAACACCUGUCAACACCCAGGAGAAGGUUACCUUCCCAGUCUCCUAGUCACGCUGCAGCAGGUGAUGCGUACAAACGGGAUGUAGCUAUGAAAGAAGGACUCAGAGAAGCCAGAGCUACUGCCUCUAUGCGCUCAAUGUGAAAGAACCAACAAAAUCCUGGGAGUCAUUGUCUCUUUCCAAGCAGUCAUCAUCUCUUUCCAAGGAGCGAUCACCUUCCUUCAGGGAGUUGUCAUCGUUUUACAUUCGUUUCAAGUCUCCCAGCCACCAGAGGAUGCUCAGCUCUGGCUGAUCUGCUCUGGGGUCCUAGUUUUCUUGUUUUACAAAAAGGAGCCGCUGAGGCAAAGGUCUGAGCAGGCAGAGCCGUUGCUGUUCUGAGGGCAUAAAAAGGCUCUCCUUCACUGGAGACACUCCACUGACUUCUCACGUGGGGCUGCGGGAGCAUUUGCCCUGUGUUACCAGCACAAAGGCAGAUGGUUCCAAGGGAGCAGCUGAAGGGAAAUCUUACUCAUUCUAGUGUCACAUAGUUGUUGUUUAUUUAUCUGGGCCCUUGAGGGUUGAAUCAUACAAUUUUCUUUUUCAUAGAGCAGUCUUUAAAGAAUGACAGUGCUGUAUUGUGUGGAUAGAUGGAUGCUGAUUUGCUCUCAGAAAACAUGAAGGGGCAAGUUAUGGCAAUAAAGAUGUUCACAGUUGUGUAAAAACA